UACAGAGGUCUCAAGCGUUGUUCGGAUUCAUUGGGCGUAAAGGGUGUGUAGGUGGCGCCGUAAGUCGGGUGUGAAAUCUCGGGGCUUAACUCCGAAACUGCAUUCGAUACUGCGGUGCUUGAGGACUGGAGAGGAGACUGGAAUUCAUGGUGUAGCAGUGAAAUGCGUAGAGAUCAUGAGGAAGACCAGUGGCGAAGGCGGGUCUCUGGACAGUUCCUGACACCUGAGACACGAAGGCCAGGGGAGCAAACGGG
rnacentral:rRNA from 1 species